rnacentral:rRNA from 1 species
AUUGAACGCUGGCGGCAGGCCUAACACAUGCAAGUCGAGCGGAGCGGCGGACGGGUGAGUAAUGCCUAGGAAUCUGCCUGGUAGUGGGGGAUAACGUCCGGAAACGGGCGCUAAUACCGCAUACUAUCAGAUGAGCCUAGGUCGGAUUAGAUAGUUGGUGGGGUAAAGGCCUACCAAGGCGACAAUCCGUAACUGGUCGGAGAGGAUGAUCAGUCACACGGGAAUGGAGAACAGUUCCAUACUCCUACGGGAGGCAGCAGUGGGGAAUAAUGGACAAUGGGCGAAAGCUUGAUCCAGCAAUGCCGGGUGGUGGAAGAAGUUCUUCGGAUUGUAAAGCACUUUAAGUUGGGAGGCGUUACCAACAGAAUAAGCACCGGCUAACUUCGUGCCAGCAGCCGCGGUAAUAC